CGAGCGCUCACUUCGGUGGGAGCGGCGGACGGGUUAGUAACGCGUGGGAACAUACCCUUCUCUACGGAAUAGCCUCGGGAAACUGAGAGUAAUACCGUAUACGCCCUUCGGGGGAAAGAUUUAUCGGAGAUGGAUUGGCCCGCGUUAGAUUAGAUAGUUGGUGGGGUAAUGGCCUACCAAGUCUACGAUCUAUAGCUGGUUUUAGAGGACGAUCAGCAACACUGGGACUGAGACACGGCCCAG
rnacentral:rRNA from 1 species